CAGGCCUAACACAUGCAAGUUAAGCUGACGAGUGGCGAACGGGUGAGUAAUGUAUCGGAACGUGCCCAGUCGUGGGGGAUAACUGCUCGAAAGAGCAGCUAAUACCGCAUACGACCUGAGGGUGAAAGCGGGGGAUCGCAAGACCUCGCGCGAUUGGAGCGGCCGAUAUCAGAUUAGGUAGUUGGUGAGGUAAAGGCUCACCAAGCCGACGAUCUGUAGCUGGUCUGAGAGGACGACCAGCCACACUGGGACUGAGACACGGCCCAGACUCCUACGGGAGGCAGCAGUGGGGAAUUUUGGACAAUGGGCGCAAGCCUGAUCCAGCCAUGCCGCGUGCGGGAAGAAGGCCUUCGGGUUGUAAACCGCUUUUGUCAGGGAAGAAAAGGUUCUGGCUAAUACCUGGGACUCAUGACGGUACCUGAAGAAUAAGCACCGGCUAACUACGUGCCAGCAGCCGCGGUAAUACGUAGGGUGCAAGCGUUAAUCGGAAUUACUGGGCGUAAAGCGUGCGCAGGCGGUUAUGCAAGACAGAGGUGAAAUCCCCGGGCUCAACCUGGGAACUGCCUUUGUGACUGCAUGGCUAGAGUACGGUAGAGGGGGAUGGAAUUCCGCGUGUAGCAGUGAAAUGCGUAGAUAUGCGGAGGAACACCGAUGGCCAAGGCUAUCCCCUGGACCUGUACUGACGCUCAUGCACGAAAGCGUGAUGAGCAAACAGGAUUAGAUACCCCUGGUAGUCCACGCCCUAAACGAUGUCAACUGGUUGUUGGGAGGGUUUCUUCUCAGUAACGUAGCUAACGCGUGAAGUUGACCGCCUGGGGAGUACGGCCGCAAGGUUGAAACUCAAAGGAAUUGACGGGGACCCGCACAAGCGGUGGAUGAUGUGGUUUAAUUCGAUGCAACGCGAAAAACCUUACCUACCCUAGACAUGUCUGGAAUCCUGAAGAGAUUUGGGAGUGCUCGAAAGAGAGCCAGAACACAGGUGCUGCAUGGCCGUCGUCAGCUCGUGUCGUGAGAUGUUGGGUUAAGUCCCGCAACGAGCGCAACCCUUGUCAUUAGUUGCAACGAAAGGGCACUCUAAUGAGACUGCCGGUGACAAACCGGAGGAAGGUGGGGAUGACGUCAGGUCAUCAUGGCCCUUAUGGGUAGGGCUACACACGUCAUACAAUGGCCGGGACAGAGGGCUGCCAACCCGCGAGGGGGAGCUAAUCCCAGAAACCCGGUCGUAGUCCGGAUCGUAGUCUGCAACUCGACUGCGUGAAGUCGGAAUCGCUAGUAAUCGCGGAUCAGCUUGCCGCGGUGAAUACGUUCCCGGGCCUUGUACACACCGCCC
rnacentral:rRNA from 1 species